UACGGAGGGGACUAGCGUUGUUCGGAAUUACUGGGCGUAAAGCGCACGUAGGCGGAUUUGUAAGUCAGGGGUGAAAUCCCGGGGCUCAACCUCGGAACUGCCUUUGAUACUGCAAAUCUCGAGUCCGGAAGAGGUGAGUGGAAUUCCUAGUGUAGAGGUGAAAAUUCGUAGAUAUUAGGAAGAACACCAGUGGCGAAGGCGGCUCACUGGUCCGGUACUGACGCUGAGGUGCGAAAGCGUGGGGAGCAACAGGGAUUAAGAAACCUAGUACGUCCAG
rnacentral:rRNA from 1 species